rnacentral:tRNA from 1 species
CGGGAUGUGGCGCAGUCCGGUAGCGCGCGCCGUUCGGGUCGGCGAGGCCGUGGGUUCGAAUCCCUCCAUCCCGA